CCUACGGGGGGCAGCAGUGGGGAAUAUUGGACAAUGGGCGAAAGCCUGAUCCAGCCAUGCCGCGUGUGUGAAGAAGGCCUUCGGGUUGUAAAGCACUUUCAGUGGGGAAGAAAGCCUUGGGGCUAAUACCCUCGAGGAAGGACAUUACCCACAGAAGAAGCACCGGCUAACUCCGUGCCAGCAGCCGCGGUAAUACGGAGGGUGCGAGCGUUAAUCGGAAUUACUGGGCGUAAAGCGCGCGUAGGCGGUCUGAUAAGCCGGUUGUGAAAGCCCCGGGCUCAACCUGGGAACGGCAUCCGGAACUGUCAGGCUAGAGUGCAGGAGAGGAAGGUAGAAUUCCCGGUGUAGCGGUGAAAUGCGUAGAGAUCGGGAGGAAUACCAGUGGCGAAGGCGGCCUUCUGGACUGACACUGACGCUGAGGUGCGAAAGCGUGGGUAGCAAACAGGAUUAGAUACCCCGGUAGUC
rnacentral:rRNA from 1 species